rnacentral:lncRNA from 1 species
AACAAACAUCAAAUACUAUUAUAAAAUUUUAAAAAUAAUUUUCUAGUUUUAAAAAACUAAAAUUAUUUUUUAAUCACAUGGACUCUAAGAUUUGUCUCUCUCAUUGGACUUCCAUUGCAAUAUGCCAAUAUCCAAUUUAUGUACCAAAAAGUGAACUUCAUUCCUAUAAUUCGAUUUCAUUGCUUUAUACCCUAUUCAUAUCAAUUUGCUUUAUAUUUUACUAAUUUUAGGUUCAUAUUUUCCAUACUUUAAUGGUAUUUAUGUGAUUUUUGUUGUAUUUGUCCCUUGCUUUUAUUUAUCUAUAUCCUCUACAAUGGAUGUAAGUUUUACUAUAUAGUUUCUAUAAUCUAGAUUACAAAGAUCAAAAUAUCAAAUGGAUAUCUUAAAAUUUGCCCCUUGUAAACACCUAACAGUGGUUUCACAGCGGUGAUGGCACUAGGGCUGUCGUAACUGUGACAUAAUGAAGAGGUCAACCAUCAAUUUUGUUGGACAAAGCAUGUUUUUGGGCACCUUUGAUGGGAGGCAGCAAUCAAAACGAUGCCGGAAACAGACCCAUCAUGACAUGCUGAGAGUGUCAUUCCAGGGUAUGGUCUAAUCCGAGGGUGGGUUGGAUAACAUUACAUAUGUAGAAAUGAGG